AUGAUCACAAACCAGCCAAUUGUGAAUCCUUUUAUUUGUUAUUUGCUGAGUCACUUGAAGACUCGACCCUCCUCUGACCUGUGUGCUAUCCCUAGGCACAUCAGCGACAGGGCUUCAAAUAGCUCCCCUCCUACUCUGGUGCUGGUGAAUGCUAGGUCAGUGCGGAAUAAGAUCAAUACCAUCAGGGACUUCAUUAUUGAAAGUGGGGCUGACUUAGCAUGUAUCACAGAAACCUGGUUGCAGGAGGGCGAUGAGGUCCUCCUCCAGGAAUUAUCAUCUCCAGAUUUUGUUAUCACCCACCAGAUGCGGACCGGGAGACGGGGGGGUGGAGUGGCAAUGCUCGCACGAGAAAAUUUAUCUCUGAGGGCGGCUCCCACUCCGAACAUCUCUGGUAUGGAAAGCAUUGGCCUUGUAUGGGAUUCACAGGAGAGUAUAGCCUUUCUACUGGUGUACCGUGCGCCUAAUGCACCAGUGGACAGCCUAUCACAGCUGCUAGAGGUUGUGUCGGAGUGGGCCUUGAGGUUCCCCAGGCUUAUUGUUUUGGGGGACUUCAAUGUCCACGCUGAUGCAGGCUCCUUCUCCUCAGCAGCUGAAGACCUAGUGUCGACCAUGGCGACACUAGGACUCUCACUUUAUAAUACUGGGCCUACACAUCAGGCUGGCCACACACUAGAUUUGAUCUUUGGGGUUGGAAUCCAAGUGACCCUAACCUCCGUUUUGGAGGUUCCAUGGUCGGACCACUGCGCCCUAGGAAUCCGUAUAGAGCACACCAACCCACCCAACCUGGGCGCCGAACCUAUUUGGGUUCGCCCGAAGAGACUAAUGGAACCGGUCAGGUUCCUGAAUGCUCUAAAGGCCAUAGAACCUGUCAGCGACUCACUAGAGGUGCAAGUGGAUACAUGGAACACCAAAUUAGCCAAUGCACUCGAUGAGAUCGCACCUAGACGCCUUCUCCGACCCCGUAAGAAUCAGUCUCCUUGGUUCACUGAGGAGUUCCGUGCGAUGAAACGGGAGAAGAGACGGCUAGAGGUCAUGUGGCGGGAACGCCGUGAUGAGGAAUCGGAAUCAGCUUAUAAGAAGUCCAGAGAGUCUUAUGAGCAGACUAUCACCGAGGCAAAAAAGUUGUAUUAUGCUUCCUUGAUAGUGUCUGCGAGCUCACACCCAGCACAAUUAUUUAAGAUCAUUAGAUCCCUGACAAAGGUCCCUUCUGUUCCAAACAAUAAUGACCUGGCUCCUUCGGCUGAGGUUUUCCAGAGCUAUUUUGCAGACAAGAUCUCGCUUCUUCGCCGGGAACUCCCUGCCACGAUGGAUACAGUAACUGAACUUGAGACUCCGUGGCCACUCUCUGGGCCCAUCCUGGACCGGUUUACCCCGCUGGAUGCAGAGGCUGUCGACAGGAUCAUGACUGCAGCUAGGCCGACCACCUGCUCCCUCGAUCCGUGUCCCUCCUGGCUAGUAAAAUCCUGCCUAGAUGGAUUACGUGAACCUCUGUUGAAUAUAAUAAAUAGCUCCCUUGAGCAAGGAGUUUUCCCAGAGGGUUUAAAAGAGGCAUCGGUAUCUCAGCUGCUGAAGAAACCAGACUUAGAUCAUUCGGUUCCCGCUAGCUACUGCCCAGUGUCGAACCUUCCGUUUCUGGGCAAGCUGGUUGAGAGAGCAGCAGUGGAACAGUUGCAGCAGUUCCUCAAUGACACAGCCGGACUUGAUCCCUUCCAGUCCGGCUUCCGUAAGGGGCACGGAACGGAGACUGUGCUGGUCGCCAUCACAGACCAACUUCGCUGCCAGAGGGAUCAAGGCGGAUCAGCGCUGCUCGUGUUAUUGGAUCUCACAGCAGCAUUUGAUACGGUCGACCACAAUCUAUUGACCCACCGCCUAGCCAUGACGGGGGUUAGGGGGAUACCCCUGAAAUGGGUGUCCUCCUUCCUCCAAAAUCGGGGACAGCGGGUGGUGAGGGAAGGGUUGGUUUCCGCGUAG
rnacentral:lncRNA from 1 species